UGGAGUGUGAAGCUUGACUAGAAUCAAUCCUGUUAACAGCACAAAGAGCUUCAAGAAGGCACUCUAUUAGGCUAAUAUGCUUUUCCAACCUAAGCUCUAUUGAUAAAAGAUAGAAUGGAAAAGGGCCAAAAAUGUGGACUAUUAGUGCUCCAUGUGAAAUAAAUAGGACUAGUUUGAGUUAAAGUCCAAAGAUACUGGACUAUUUUGGGCCUUUUCUCUUUUAAAUCCGUGGAAAAAAGAAUGAAAUUUUUCUAAAUUUAAAAAUAAUUUAACUUAAAUUUCUUAUUUUACUCUAGUAUACUCAUUAAAUAGUGUAUGUCAUCAUUGUCAUGUUUAACAUGUAAGUUUUUUUUUUUUAAAUAAGGGUAGUGUUGUUGCCAACUUAUGAAUGCAAACACAAUUUCUUACUAUCUCUGUUAAAUUCCUAUUAUGUCCUUAUUUUUGCUGAUUAUGUCAUUCUGAGAAGAGGUUACCCAAAGUCAUUUGGCUUGUUCCUUCGUAGUUAUUUUGACAACCUAAUACACUCCAAGUCGUCGGAGAUUUUGAUGUUUCAGUCACCUACUUUUCCACCUGAAUCUUAUCAUUCAAGGUAUUGGCGUAGUUGGAAAGUGUUGUUUUAUCCUCUAUUUUGUUACCCUUUUGUUCCAAUUUUGUCACCUUUAGAUUGAAAUCUCUAACUACAUUGAGUUGGGUUUAGCAAUUUUAGCCUACUGUGUAAGAUCAGGGAUUUCACAAUGGCUUUUUUUUUUUUGGGACUUUCACGAUGGCUUCAAUUGAAAAUAACAAUUUAUUUCCGUACUGAAAUGAAAUAUAAUCAUAAGUUUAAGGGAGCUUUUUUUACUUUGCUUUUUCAUUAUCCUUUGCUACUCAUGAGUACCGGUUGGAUAUACAUUGGUUUAACUAAUUACCCCCUUCGCAAAUCUUUUAACGACUUGUUUUUCUUUUUAUGACGGUGGUGUUCGGGCCAGCUUGUGGCUACUUUAGCUAUUUCACCGGGUACAUGCUACUUCCCUUCAACACAUGUAUCAUCACUUAGGCACAUGAGAAGAAAUCAGCUAGUGUUUUUUGUCUCCGUUGGAAUUUGAACCUGAGACCCCAUCGUUCUUCUCCCGCUUCAUUGACCACUAGGUUACACUCUUGGAUGCACAAAUCUUUUAACGAUUAGUAAGGAUAAUUGUUUUUUUUUUUAAAAUCUUUUACGCCCUCGGAGCUUUGGUCUAGUGGUAAGAGCGUAGCAAUAAUGUGUGGGUUAGGCACACGUUGUCACACCUCCUUUUUCCCGAAGGGAUAGGGGAGUUUUUUCAAUUAAAGUAACAUUAAUCGAAAUGGAAUUAUUUAUUUAAUUCAGAGUCGCCACUUGGAAUAAUUUAUGGUGUCCCAAGUCACCGAUUUAUUUUAAAUCCCAAAUCGAGGAAAUUGACUCUUAUUUAUGGUCUGCGAACACAGAAGAGCGGGUAAGGAAUUCUAUUAACCCGGGAGAAGGUGUGAGGCACUCCCGAGUUACGUGGUUUUAGCACGGUUGCUCAACUAUUAUAAUUAUCCUAAUUAUCUGAUUUAAUACAUAUUUGAAACCUAUUGUGCAUUUUUACUUUUUAACCGCUUAUAGUAUUUAUGAAAUUUGUUUGAACAAGUCGCGAUGUCGUGCACUCGUUUGUUUUUGUACAUAUUGCGAAUCGCGCCACGUGAAACGUACCCGCGAUUCACAACAUGUUAAUUUUUUUAUUAUUCGAAGUUGUGGUCAAGUCGCGUGAAACGCACACUCUAAUUGGGGGUUAUGUAUCAUGACUAUGCCACGGGAACCGUACCCAUAGUCACGAUGAUUUAUUUAUUAAGUGCGCCUAAAGCAAGCUACGAAUAUUUAUAAGUUGUUUAUUUUCCUACGUUUGGAAUCAAGGCGAAAGCCCAAAACCAUGGAACUCAAUUAGGGACAAAAAUGUGCAGAUUACUACUUAAAAGAUAACUGAUGGGUUUCACAUAAUGGAGCCCAUAUGCUCCAAAUAUUAAAAGUUUUUUACAAACUUGGAAUUGUUAUGCUAUUAACCCAGUUAAGCUAACUUUGCAUUGUGAAAUUAAAUGAAUACAAAUCAGCACACGCAAUGCCAAAUACACACGGCUGCUCAUGUCAUUACAAAACUUUAAUUAGAAUAACAGUAGGUGAUUCAUGCUCUGCCUUAGUUACACUUAUUACAUCAGAAAAAUUACCAUUACCCUUUCCCUUCACAUAAUCCCUCCAUCACGCCAAUUUCAAACAACUAUUGGCAAAAAUUAUAAGCUUACACAUCUAAUUAUCAGCACCAAGGAAAUGUUUGAAUCAUCACAUACUAGAAACAGGUUUUAUCAAACUUACGAUUAAUGACAGGUUUAGUGAACAUUCAAAAUGCAUCAUUCGCCUAGAGCAUCAUUGUCAGAGACGGAGUAUGGGAAAUAGUAUAAUUUUAAAAACAAUUUCAACUUCAUUCAACUAAAAAAUCAUAAAAAUACAGAACGUACCUAGACUGUAAAGAAGAAUAAUCAACAGAAAUCCACCAAAUAAAGGUUUGGAUUGGAGAGUGCAACUCGGCUGGUUGAACAGUGCAAUCACCAACAAAUUUGCCAAACAGAAGCGAAAUCCAAACCAAACAGAGCUCAAUACGGUUGCAGCAACAAACAGCGACAAUACAGCGAUUCCACCGCUCAAAACGAAUUUCAGAAACCCGGGAAGAAAGAAAUCGAGCUUUGAAAUCAGUUCUCUUCAAACCCCGCUUGAAAAUUCCAGUUUUUCUUCUUAUCUUUUUUAGCUUAUGAUUUUCAGAUCUGGUUUGGGUGUCCUAUCAGUUACUACUAGAUGGCUUAGGCGUGUGUGAGAGUGAGGAGUACUGUGUGAGGGAUUCGGUG
rnacentral:lncRNA from 1 species